UCCAUAAAGUGUGGAACUCUGGGGUCUCACUAAGAACAAGAUUUAAAGUCAGACGAGUUCCAAAGAUACUUCCUGAAGAGACUCUUGGAUUUUGCCUGUGACAGCCCUCCCCAGGACGAGGAAGGCAGCCUCCCCUUGGGACAGCACUCUACGGACUUCUCAGUGUUGGAAAGAGCUGGGACUCCUACAGGGAAUUCCUACUCUUCAUAUUUGUUCUCUGCUAAACCAGAGGAGACACAUCUUGCUCUAGAGUUCCCCAGAACCUGCUCUUCUGGGUCAGCCUCCUGCUGUCUUAUUCUUCCAUCUUUUCUCCACCUAUGCCCAAAGCACAACCAAGGUCACUUUGUUUCUUGAGCUGAGUUCACGCUGGAGCAUGCAAUGCAACAGAGCUUCUAUUUCCUGGCAGAUGGACCAUGAGCCUGGGCCAGAGAAUCUGGUGCUGAGCUGCUGCAGUCAGCUGAGCUGCUUACGUAACCUGAAGGCUCUCCUGGGAGGACCAUGCUGUGAAAGGCAGCUCUGGUUUGCUUCCCCUCAGAUAAUGUUUAUAUGGCCUUUUGGUCAGAGAAGAAGCAAAGAUAAUCCCCCUGACCCUCAGGUUGAGGAGACACAGAUCGGCCUUUGCUGAGGGUAGCACAGCAAAUGAGGAUGCAUCUCCCAGCAGGUGACGUGCCCGGUCCUGUGACUCAUGCCCUUUAUCCCAGUAAGUGAUCUGGCUCUGGUAAAGUGCCCUAGGGAGCCUUGCCUGGACAAGGAGCACCUCGUGAUAGUCUGCCCUGUGCAACCCGCUGCUGUUUCUGACGAGGUUAAGCUGGAUUCAAAUGCUAGGUGACAGGACCUUGCCUUGCACGAUGGUUUCUUACCCCACAAUAUUCAUCUCAGGGGUGAGCAGGCUAGCAACAUUCUUGGAUGACAUGGCCAUUCUGGUGAGAUGGUAAAUGCCUGGGGCCUGGACUCUGAAGAUCUUCACGAGGUCACUCCCGCAUGACUGUCCUGAAUAGGCAAAGCAGUCUGCCUGAUGUAGCCACCCCACUUUCUAGGGUCAAUGACCCAUCUGCGGCUCCCAGCCUGGGAGUCCUAGAUGCUUAGAUUAGGUUCUUUUUCUCUCUUAGGGUCAAAUGCAAACAAAAAUGCUGUGAGACGCAGGACAUCAGGGGCAUCCCAGGGCCUGAAUAUUCUUACUCUGACCAGAGCCGGCUCCGGGCAGCUGUCAGCCAUGCCUUAAAAAUCAGAAGUCUGCACACUUUUUCCGUAAAGGGCCAGGUAUUAAAUCUUUCAGGUUCAUGGGCCACAUGUGGUCUCAGAUGCAACUACCCAGCACUGCCAUUGUGGCAUGGAAGCAGCCAUAGAGACUUUGUAAAUGAAUGGGCACGGUGGCAUUCCAAUAAAACUUCAUUUACAAAAACAA